rnacentral:rRNA from 1 species
GAUCCUGGCUCAGGAUGAACGCUAGCUACAGGCUUAACACAUGCAAGUCGAGGGGCAGCAUUUUAGUUUGCUUGCAAACUAAAGAUGGCGACCGGCGCACGGGUGAGUAACACGUAUCCAACCUGCCGAUAACUCGGGGAUAGCCUUUCGAAAGAAAGAUUAAUAUCCGAUAGUAUAUUUUCUCCGCAUGGCGAGAAUAUUAAAGAAUUUCGGUUAUCGAUGGGGAUGCGUUCCAUUAGUUUGUUGGUACGGGGG